rnacentral:rRNA from 1 species
UACAGAGGUCCCAAGCGUUGUUCGGAUUCACUGGGCGUAAAGGGUGCGUAGGCGGUCGGGUAAGUCUGACGUGAAAUCUCCAAGCCUAACUUGGAAACUGCGUUGGAUACUAUCCGGCUCGAGGAAUGGAGGGGAGACUGGAAUACUUGGUGUAGCAGUGAAAUGCGUAGAUAUCAAGUGGAACACCAGUGGCGAAGGCGGCGCUCUGGCUCGCAACUGACGCUCAGACACGACAGCAUGGGGAGCGAACGGG